UACAGAGGUCUCAAGCGUUGUUCGGAUACAUUGGGCGUAAAGGGUGUGUAGGUGGCGCCGUAAGUCGGGUGUGAAAUUUCGGAGCUUAACUCCGAAACUGCAUUCGAUACUGCGGUGCUUGAGGACUGGAGAGGAGACUGGAAUUCAUGGUGUAGCAGUGAAAUGCGUAGAGAUCAUGAGGAAGACCAGUGGCGAAGGCGGGUCUCUGGACAGUUCCUGACACUGAGACACGAAGGCCAGGGGAGCAAACGGG
rnacentral:rRNA from 1 species